GCUAGGCUCAGAAGAAACUAGUUUCUAAUGUAUGGCCGACAAUUAAUUUCAUUGGCUAGAUCUAAAUUAUAGUUUAACUAAAAAAAUUUUCUCAUAAUUUUACUAUAACUAAAUAAUCAUAUUUUUUUUAUAAUAAUAUCAAAUCAAAUUUUUUACAUCUCAUUUUCAGAAAUAAGAGAAUAAUUUUAUUCAUCAUUCAUGCAAAGGUAAAAAUGUAUAAUCU
rnacentral:lncRNA from 1 species